AAUCUUUUGGAACCUCAUCACUAAAGUGAGAACCUGUCAACAUUGCUGUAUUCUAUCGGUUAGAAGCAAGUUACUCAAGGAGAGGGGAUUAUCAAGGGUAUCAGUACCAGGAUGCAUGGAUCCCUUGAAACCAUCUUAGAGGCUACCUACCAUGUAAACAAAACAAUUGUUACAUUAAAUUGUAGUAAGCAUAUUGACUUCUUCUCUCAAUAAAUAGAUGAAUUGUCCAGGGUUUCUGCAGACAGACCAAAGGUGAUGAUCCCACAUCAGCAACAAGAGUCAGGAGGAAGUCUUCAGAAGCAGGAAUGCAUAGAUCCAAGAAAGAUCAUAUGUGAAGCACCAGUCUAUGCUCUGUAUCUCGCCUUCCACUUUUCAAGGCAUCACUCUGAUGAAGAUCUCCUCCUUCAGCUGUGCUCUCCAUGGCCUCUGAACAUAUAACAUAGUCCUAGCUCACCCAAAUGAAACAAACAGGUAACACAAAAUCUUCCUCAAUCCUUUCUCCUUUAUCUUUUAAAUUUCUGUUUCAAUUUCCUAAAAGACUUUAUUUUUGUCUAAUUACACUAUCGAAACUGUUCCUUUCUAAAUCACCAUCCUCUUUUCAGCUUCCAGGAAGGGGCAGACUUUCCUAAGCCAUAAAAUAGUUCCAGUUUCAACCACCCACCAGGGGAACGGAGACCUACUCACCUUACAGCCAUGACACUAAGGUUUUUCUUUUCCAGACAAAGAAGAUCUGCUUCAAAAUGAUGGCUCUCUCAAUGGAGAAACCUGAAAAUGGCUGACAUCCUUUAAAGAAGACAGAUUCACACACACACACACACACACACACACACACACACACGCACGCACGCACACAUUCAUGCGAUCUUUUUCACCCAUCCCCACGUCCCCACAUUAAGCUACCGUUUUAUCACUUCUUCCACCUACCAGGACAUCUCUUUUUUUUUUUUUUUGAGACAGAGUUUUGCCCUUGUUGCCCAGGCUGGGGUGCAAUGGCACGAUCUCGGUUCACAGCAACUUCCGCCUCCCCAGUUCAAGCCAUUCUCCUGCCUCAGCCUACCAAGUAGCUGGGAUUACAGGCAUGCACCACUAUACCUGGCUAAUUUUGUAUUUUUAGUAGAGACAGGGUUUCUCCACGUUGGUUAGGCUGGUUUCUCCACGUUGGUUAGACGGGGUUUCUCCAUGUUGGUUGGGCUGAUCUCGAACUCCCGACCUCAGGUGAUCUGCCGCCUCAGCCUCCCAAAGUGCUGGGAUUACAGGCGUGCUGGGAUUACAGGCGUAAGCCACCACGCUGGCACAUCUCUCUUUUUUAAACUUUUAUUUUAGAUGCAAGGGAUACAUGUGCAAGUUUGUUACCUGGGUAUAUUGUGUGAUACUAAGGUCUGAGGUAUGAAUGAUCUUGUCACCCAGGUACUGAGCAUAGUACCUAAUAGUUUUUCAACCCUUGCCCUCUUCUCCUCCUCCCCCUCUAUUAGUCCCCAGUUUCUAUUGUUGCCAUCUUUGUGUCCAUGUGUAUUCAAUCUUGAUCUCCCACUUCUAAGUGAGGACAUGCAGUAUUCAGUGGUUUUGUUUCUGCAUCAGUUGGCUUAGGAUAACGGCCUCCAGCUGCAUCCCUGUUGCUGCAAAGGACAUGAGUUCAUCCUUUUUCAUGGCUGCAUAAUAUUCCAUGGUGUACACAUAUUAUAUUUUCUUUAUUCAAUCCCCCAUUGAUGGGCACUUAGAUUGAUUCCAUGUCUUUGCUAUUGUGAAUAGCACUGCAAUGAACAUGUGAAUGAAUGUGUCUUUUUGGUAGAAAGAUUUGCUUUCUUUUGGAUAUAUACCAAAUAAUGGGAUAAUAGGAUUGCUGUUCUUUGAGAAAUCUCCAAACUGCUUUCCACAGGGGCUGAAUUCAUUUGUACUCCCACCAACAGUGUAUAAGCAUUCCCUUUUGUUUGCAGCCUCUACAGCAUCUGUUGUUUUUUUUCACUUUUUAGUAGUAGCUAUUCUGACUGGUGUGAGAUGGUAUCUCAUUGUGGUUUUGAUUUUUAUUUCUUUGAUGGCCAGUGAUGUGGAGCAUUUUGUCAUAUGUUUGCUAGUUGCUUGUAUAUCUUCUUUUGAAAAGUGCAGGACAUCUCAAUAUUUACUUUAACUCAACUCUGUGUGUGUGUGUGUGUGUGUGUGUGUGCAGGUAGGGAGGAAAACAAGGACAGAAACCAGGAGGCCCAGCCCAGGAUUAAAAACACACCACAGCCUUUCCAAAAAGUCAGAGUCAUACAUGGAUCACUUGGAAAUAACUGAACUUGCAAAUCCAGUUUCCCAUGGACCUGCUGAGUUUAUGAGGAAAAGGUGGCUGUGGCCAUUACCAAGUUAUUAAAACCACAGAGAUCUUGACUUGUAUGGACUGAGAUGAGGCUUCCAUCAGCAUCUCGCAUAAAUAACAUAACACUGAUGCAGCAGAUGAACAUGGAAUCAGUGACAUCCACAAGAAGACAAUAGGCUUGGAGGAGAAACAGACCUUGACUUCAAGACACAACGCAGAGGGAAAUAUCGCUGAUACAAAGCUUGAAGAUGAUCAUCUAUGUACCCAUCGGGACAUUUUUAAAGGGACAAGUGGAAUGAGCGAAGACUUUGAAGACAGUCUUGUCUGCCAGGCACUCAGAUCAUCAGGAAGCAGAAAAGGAGAUGCAAGAUCAGGUUGAGAGAUCUUCGACGUCCUGCUUUUCCCUGGGGAGCACUUUCCCUGGAUGCAGCAAUUCAAGACCAAGCCCUAUAGCUUUAGAGGCUGCUGGAAAGAGAGCAGCAUGUAAGAUCCUAAAUAACUGGCUGAAUUAUAUUUAUUCAUUUGUUGACUUGUUUACUGUCUAUCUCAUCCAUACAAUAGAAAUUCCUGGAAGGCCCAUCUUGCCUAUUAUCAUAUCUCCAGUGCAUAAAACAGUUCCUGACACAUAGUAGACACUCUGUAAAUAAUUCUGGACUGAAUAAAUGGUGAGAUUUGAUGCCAAACUGAGGAGAAAAAAACUGCAACCCCAGCCCUCCCUGAAAGGGCCAACAUUUUAAAUCCAUUAGUCAUGCAAACCUUGAGGGUGAGUUUAUUUAAAUUAGUGAUAAGAACUAGCUGAAGUUAGCUAUGUGACAGGCUGAUGUUGUUUCACUGGAAGGGGAAGAAGGUAUUUGGGGCCCUAGGGCUCCACGGUGAGGUCCACGCCAGAAGAGUUGUCUAGGAGGCCAUGGAGGUAGUGAGGGGCACAAGGCAGAUGGGGAUAAAGAAGCAGAAAAUCUACAGCAGAAGAUGAGAGGGAAGUGGAAGACACUAGAAUAUCUUUACCACCUCCCAAAUUUUCCAGGACAACCUCUUUACAUGCAUGACUAUGAGUAAGUGUUUCAACAUUAAAUGCAACCUACUGUUAGCUUUCCCGGGACUAGUUACCCAGAAGGUUUUACUUCAUCUAAAAUGCAACCAAUAAUAGCAUUCAUAGCAAAUGCUUAUGUUGUAUUUACCCAGACACUAUUCACAUUGUUCUACACGCAUGAAUGCAUUUCACCCUUAGAACCCCCAAGUAGAGGAAAAAGAAAUUCAGGAGAUUAUGUGACUGAAUUAUCUAGGGAUGAUCAUGAGCUACGUUCCUUUCACCUGUGAGUAUCAAAUACUACUGGUGUCAGUAGAGGCAACAUGUCCCUCUUUCUAGAUGCUCCUCUUCCUGUGUGUGUUGUGUUGGGUUGUGGGGGAAGUCUUAGUGAGAAGUUCCUGGACUUAAGAAAGGUAGAGUAGCUCCCAGGUAAACAGAACCUGCUUGGAAACAGGUCUAAUCUCUUACAAAAUCACAGAGCCCAAAGAAUGUAAAGGCCCUGAGAGGAACUAAGUCUAAUAGCUCCACCGAGUGAUGCACGGAGAGUUCCCGGAACAGUCCUUCAGCUUGCUGGCUGCACAGGAAACUGUGUGAUGUGUGCUGUACCCACAUUUCUCAUCUGUCCUCAGAACACAGUAAAUAUCAGCUGGCUUUGCUCAUCGGAGAGGUGUGGGGUAUGGAAGGGACAAGAGAAGAGAGAAAGGGAGACAAUAGAACAAUAACUGAUCUCUCCUUUCUGGUAUUACUGUUAUAACAGCACAAUGGCAAUUGAGCAAUCAAUUCCAAACUUUUAAAAGUCUUUUUCUUUUCUCAACUUAAAAUCAAAGCUUGCGCUGGGCGUGGUGGCUCACACCUAUAAUCCCAGCACUUUGGGAGGCCAAGGCUGGUGGAUCACCAGGUCAAGAGAUCAAGACCAUCCUGGCCAAUAUGAAACCCCAUCUCUACUAAAAAUACAAAAAUUAGCUGGGCGUGGUGGCACGUGCCUGUAAUCCCAGCUACUCGGGAAGCUGAGGCAGGAGAAUCGCUUGAACCCAGGAGGCAGAGGUUGCAGUGAGCCAAGAUCGUGCCCUGCACUCCAGUCUGGUGACAGAGCAAGACUCCAUCUCAAAAAAAUAAAAAUAAAAUAAAAUCAAAGCUUGAAGUUCUUACACCAUGGCACCAGCAAAGACAUGUGCUGUCUUGUCACUGUGCCCAACAGAACAGAUGACUUCUUUCCCAUAUCCCACCCGAUGAUGUUCUGAGAUGGUUUUGAAAUGUUGUCUAGACCACAGUGGGCCUGUCUUACAAACCGCACCUCUGUCAGUGGUGUACCCACACCCGUGUCACUCUAUCCGUGGCCCUGAAGUGCUGUGGAUGAGGGCCACAAGUGAGCUAGAUGUCUCAGAAGACAAAGAGAGAGGCACCUUGUGGGACAGUGUUUAAAUAUUCUCAGUGCCAGAGAGGAAGCUGGGACCCAGCAGAGGUCUGAGUUGACAUGCUGGGCCCUCUCUAAGGCCAGCUGUUGGGGACCAGGUCCUCAAGUCCUGCCAUUGAGACAAGGCAAACGGAACACAUUUCCUCUUCUUUCCACAUUUGUACCAAUAGCCUGGACUGAGUGUCGGGGUCAUCUUGGUGCACGUUCAAGUCCUUCAUUCUUGACAGGUGCUAACUCAGAGAACUCGGUGGGGCCCAGGUCCAACACAGCCAGGUGAGCUGACUCCAGAGCCAGAUCAGAGCUGGGCUUGGGAACCAAAAUCCAAGCAAUUUAUUGAGUCCUCAAAGAAACACUGAACUUUAUUUCACUGAACUACACUUGUAGACCAAUGCAUUGUAGUGGGACCUUCAGCACCAUGGAAUCAGACUCAGAGUGUUUCAUUUUGUUUUCUUUUUCUAGUCUUAUUUUUUGCUUUGUCUUACUUUGACUAGCUUUGUUUCACCUUGUUAGGCAGAAAAUUCAAGGAACAAGAUGAUUCCCUUUAGUUUGAUAUGGAUAAAUAAACAUUAAAU
rnacentral:lncRNA from 1 species